rnacentral:rRNA from 1 species
CGCGAAUUCGCCCUUCGGGGUGCAGCAGGCGCGAAAACUCUACAAUGCAGGCAACUGCGAUAGGGGAACAUCGAGUGAUCCUCAUAUUGGGGGUCUGUCCCACCGUCUAAAAAACGGUGGUUAGCAAGGGCCGGGCAAGACCGGUGCCAGCCGCCGCGGUAAUACCGGCGGCUCGAGUGGUGGCCGAUAUUAUUGAGUCUAAAGGGUCCGUAGCCGGCUUUGCAAGUCUCUCGGGAAAUCCAGCGGCUUAACCGUUGGUCGUCCGGGGGGUACUACAUUGCUUGGGACUGGGAGAGGUAGGAGGUACUCAGGGGGUAGGAGUGAAAUCCUGUAAUCCUUUGGGGACCACCGGUGGCGAAGGCGUCCUACCAGAACAGGUCCGACGGUGAGGGACGAAAGCUAGGGGCACGAACCGGAUUAGAUACCCGGGUAGUCCUAGCCGUAAACGAUGCUCGCUAGGUGUCACAACAGUCGUGAACUGUUGUGGUGCCGUAGGGAAGCCGUGAAGCGAGCCACUUGGGAAGUACGACCGCAAGGUUGAAACUUAAAGGAAUUGGCGGGGGAGCAC